rnacentral:rRNA from 1 species
UACCAGCUCCUCGAGUGGUCGGGGCGAUUAUUGGGCCUAAAGCAUCCGUAGCCGGUUCUGUAGGUCUUCUGCAAAAUCCAGUCGCUCAACGAUUGGCUCGCAGGAGAUACCGCAGGACUAGGAGGCGGGAGAGGUGGACGGUACUCCACGUGUAGGGGUAAAAUCCUUUGAUCCGUGGAAGACCACCAGUGGCGAAGGCGGUCCACCAGAACGCGCUCGACGGUGAGGGAUGAAAGCUGGGGGAGCGAACCGG